rnacentral:rRNA from 1 species
CCUACGGGAGGCAGCAGUGAGGAAUAUUGGUCAAUGGUCGGGAGACUGAACCAGCCAAGCCGCGUGAGGGAUGAAGGUACAGAGUAUCGUAAACCUCUUUUGUCAGGGAACAAAGGCGGGGACGUGUCCCCGGAUGAGUGUACCUGAAGAAAAAGCAUCGGCUAACUCCGUGCCAGCAGCCGCGGUAAUACGGAGGAUGCGAGCGUUAUCCGGAUUUAUUGGGUUUAAGGGGUGCGCAGGCGGUCUGUUAAGUCAGCGGUCAAAGUCCGGGGCUCAACCCCGGCCCGCCGUUGAAAAUGGUAGUCUUGAGGUGGCGAGAAGUAUGCGGAAUGCGCGGUGGAGCGGGGAAAUGCAUAGAGAUCGCGGAGAACUCCGAUUGGGAAGGCAGCAUGCCGGCUCCACACUGACGCUGAGGCACGAAAGCGUGGGUAUCGAACAGGAUUAGAUACCCUGGUAGUC